GAUGAACGCUAGCGGCAGGCCUAAUACAUGCAAGCCGAACGGUAAGAUUUGUAGCAAUACGAGUCCUAGAGUGGCGUAAGGGUGCGUAACACGUAUGCAAUCUGCCCGCAACUGGAGGAUAGCUCGGGGAAACCCGGAUUAACCCUCCAUAAGAUCACACAAUGGCAUCAAAGAGUGAUUAAAUCUCCGGAGGUUGCGGAUGAGCAUGCGGUUGAUUAGCUAGUUGGUAGUGUAACGGACUACCAAGGCAAUGAUCAAUAGGGGAACUGAGAGGUUGAACCCCCACACUGGCACUGAGAUACGGGCCGAGACUCCUACGGGAGGCAGCAGUAGGGAAUAUUGGUCAAUGGGUGAAAGCCUGAACCAGCCAUGCCGCGU
rnacentral:rRNA from 1 species